GAUCUUGCAUGAUCUUGCAAGAUCUUUCCAAGUUCUUGCAGGAUCUUACCUAAGAUCUUGCAGGAUCUUGCAAGAUCUUUCCAUGUUCUUGCAGGAUCUUACCUAAGAUCUUGCAAGGAUUUGUACCAAGAUCAUGCCAAGAUCUUACAUAAAUCCUGCAAGAUCAUGGAAAGAUCUUGCAUGAUCUUGCAAGAUCUUUCCAAGUUCUUGCAGGAUCUUACCUAAGAUCUUGCAGGAUCUUG